GACUCCGCUCAGGGAAUGAGGCCAAAUCAUGUAAUGAUUAAAUGCAAUAACAUUUGCUAACGUUACAUGACAGGAUGCACAAUGUAAAAUCACUUUCAGGAUUUGCAACUUCAGCAAAAUGCAUUUAAUUGCCCAAAUGUACAAUAUUUAUAACACACAGAAGUGCACACUUACACUUAUAGCUUAGAUCUGGCCCAAAAAAAUCAAGCCCAACCCAACCCCAGCCGAGCCCGUGCAGUGAUGCUGGUAACGCAUUACUCUAAUCUAAUCUGACCACUUUUUUCAGUGAGGAGUAAUCUAAUGUGGUAAUAUUUCCAAACCACUUAUCAGAUUAAAGUUACUUAUUCAGAUCACUGUGUUUUACUAUUAUUUUUGUCAUUUUCCCUAGUAAAAAUAGAUAUUUUUGCUUUUGUCUUGCAUCUCGGGGAGUGACGUCACGUGCGCGUUUUCAGCACGGGGACACUCACGUGUAAAACCACGCAGCGUCACAACCAACAUGGAGGGAGGAGAGAGAUGCGUAUUUUGUAGCUGAAAACAGUGGCAGUUCUAGACCAGUUUUAAUGGGGGGGGGGGUUGGGUCCAGCUUUUGUGUUAGAGGGGCACAUACAACCCAGGGAAAAAAGCCAAAUACCUCAUUCAGACAAGUGAUAAAUGAGACUAAAAACAGUAUUUACAAUUUUAACAAUUUGAAUUGGGUAGUAAACUAAAACAGUCACAGAAAAAGGUGAACAUAAUAAUUAGUAACUUUGUAAACUGAAAAUGGGUAUGUUUACAGCUGUCAAGCCUCUUCUCCUGUCCCCCAUCAAGGUCCUUGGAAAUAGUUUUAACUUUGGCUGUGCUGGUGCUUCUUGCCGACAUUGGCUGAUAUCUGGAGAAAGAAAAAACAUAUGUCAAGAUAUAUACUAGAGUAAUAAAUAAACACCAAUAGGAUUAUUAUAGACCAAUGAGUGGAAAGUAACUAAACUAUUGAGAUCUUGUCUAAAUGAUGUGUGGUUGGUGGGAACUGUUUUUUUCUUCCGCCUGGGUUAAUGCAUAAGUGCACCGGCAGAUUGCUCAGUCAGUCAGUCUCAGUCUGUAGACACAAUGGCAGAGCGUAAACAGAGUCAUGUCUGGAGCUAUUUCAGCUCCACAAACAAACUGUAAGGAGUUGUGGCAACACAACAAACCUUGUGAAACACCUCAGGUUAAACCACAAUACAGAAUACGAGGCAUUUAUGAUGAGGUGGACAGAAGGGGGAGCACAGUAUCAGGUGCUGCUGCUGGGGCAAGACAGACGUCUCUGGUGGAGUCCUUCGGUGCUCCAGGCAGGCACUGUCAGGUACAGAGAGAGAAAAUAUGGAGUUUUAAGCGGCGCUAAGCACCGUUGAUGUUGUUCAAAUUAAUAAAUAUGCUUAAGAAAUAAGUAACAAAAUAAAUACAUGCUUCUACAAAUACCUGCAUGAGAUCAGCUUGAAGUAAUGUCUAUCACUGAGAUGAUCUCACAUAGGUAAAAAAGCCUAGAUUUAUUCAGGCCAUGUUUCCUUAGGAAUUGAUCAUUUAAACUACUUUUUUUAGAUUUACCAGACACAUUUGGUGUAUUUGCACAAAGCAUUGGAUCGGUAUCGCCAAUACCAGCCUGAAUUUUACUCAGUAUUGGAUCAGAAAGGAAAUUGGUGGUAUUGAACAUCACUAAAGGGGGGUACACACAUAAAGAUUUUAUAAAUCUUAAGAAAUGUUUUAUCUGUAGAGCCCCCACACAUGAAGAUAAAAAAAAUCAGCUUUGAUCGUACUGUGUGUGGUGUGCUCCGAUAUUCUCGGCAGAGAAUCACCUGUCUCACGGCCGAUCUAGAAUCUAGUCCUCCGAGCCAGAAAUAUCGCAUGAUCAAACGUAAUCUACAGUAACCAAUGGCAACAACCCCAGCGUCACCGGGCUCUUCAUAAACGGAAAAGAGCAUAGACUCUAUAAAACAUUAAAGACUUGGAAGACAUAGAAGAGGGAAUGCUUUUCUGACAACACACAAUACUUGCAUUAACCACCAGUAUGACGUUAACGGUAGUGCAUAACAUUUAACAUUAGCGUCGACGCUAAACCUAGUGCUGGGUGGUAUACUGGUUCACACCGAAUACCAGUGUAUACUUUCGUCAUGAUAUGAAUUUUUAAUAUCCCACCAUAGCGGUGAAUUUGAUUACACGACGUACGGAACGCUACGCCGCACGACACUGUUUCAGACCAGACCCUUUUCGAUGUUGCGCUUCGAAACAGGCAUGGUGUGACUGUGAGGCGUGGUGAGGGUUAGGUAGUAAACAGUAGUGCUCUGGUCUUACGUUACGGUGAAGAUGGAUAGGAGAGACAUUGCAGUUCAUGACUUCAUCCGCUUCAGUGUUUCCCAUUAAUUACUUAGACUCUGGCGGCCCGCCAUGAUCUAAUUUGUCCCGCCACAGUCUCAGAGUGAACCGAAAAAAAUCUUACACUUCUCAUAAUAACAUAAAAGAUCUGUAACACGUGUUUCACGCGCUGCAGCUUUGGCAAAGGAUCUCUCACUCCCUGUCUGUCGGCUCUGCCCCGCUCUGCCCCCACCCCGCUGUACAUGGCGCGCGCACACUCACUCACACACGCACGCACGCAGGCACUGGAAUAUAUCGCGUUACCUUACGGCAUUGUGAAGCAGAAGUGAAGACGACGUGAAGAAGGCAUUUUAGGACACCACAUCGUUUGAGGACAAGAACCAGGCUGAAAUAAUAACCCUGCUAGCCAGUGAGUGCGAUGAAUGGGGACAGAUAUACCCAUUACUCAGCCGAUUGGCAGCAAUUGCACUUGUCAUUCCGGUGUCAAGUGUCAACUGUGAGAGAGACUUCUCCACAAUGAACAGGGUCAAAUCAGAGCUUCGCAACAGGCUGCAAGGAGAGCACCUGGCUGCCUGCCUGAGGGUCUCCAUCAAUGGGCCCUGUCCAGAGGAAUUUGACUACCAAAGGGCAUUAGAACUGUUUUUUUUCAAAACCCAGGAAAAUUCAAUGUCCAAAUUCGGGGUGCAAAGUUUGCAAAUAGGAGUGUUGUGUAUGUGUAUGUAUGUAUGUGUAUUUUGGAUGUUUUCUUUCAACUAGUCUGAAAGAAGACAUGUUAUGGAAGCAAAACAGCCCAAAAUUUUUUUGCCUACCAAAUGUUGAUGUACCCUCCGGCUCCAUUUUAUUUUUUAUGACAAUUUAGCUUACAGUUUAAUUAUUUAUUAUUUUAUUUGGUAAAGGUAAACACUUUUGCUUUAUUUCUUUGAUGGCUCAGAUGUAUGCUAUAUUUGAUUUUGUGUUUUCACCAUUAGUGUCUAUACAACCAGUGUGUUUGUGAUUAAAUUGUGUACAAGAGCACACAGUUCCUCAUAGAUCUAGCCUUUUAAUUUUGCUUUCAAAGUGCACCAGAUUGAUGCAUUCAACUUUAAAAUGGUAAAAAAAAUCUUCCGGGGGAGCAUGCCCCCAGACCCCCCUAGAGGGUCCAACAUCCACCCACCAUAGUCGUAUUAAAUCCUGUGGGAAACACUGCCCUUACGUCAAAAUGAGCAACUGGAAAGCCGCUGAGAUCCGGGAGAUGCUAGCGUCGCCUUGGUCUCUGUAGCUGUCUUGGUUGUUUGUUUGUUGUUGUAGCAGCAAGCUACUAAUUGUCCCUAAUUUCAAAUUAAUAGCCCCCCACUAACAACCCAGUUCUAACCUCCAGUGGGGUGCAAUGUAAAGCUGUUAUUUUGAAGACAAAUUUGACCUGCUUCCCGUUAGCUGUCUGUUGCUUGAGACAGCUAAUGGAGGGGGCGAGGCGCUCCGCAUGUUGUGUCAAAAUUAAACUAUUGAACGA